AUUGAACGCUGGCGGCAGGCCUAACACAUGCAAGUCGAGCGGUAGAGAGGUGCUUGCAUCUCUUGAGAGCGGCGGACGGGUGAGUAAUGCCUAGGAAUCUGCCUAGUGGUGGGGGAUAACGUUCGGAAACGGACGCUAAUACCGCAUACGUCCUACGGGAGAAAGCGGGGGGAUCUUCGGACCUCGCGCCAUUAGAUGAGCCUAGGUCGGAUUAGCUAGUUGGUGAGGUAAUGGCUNACCAAGGCGACGAUCCGUAACUGGUCUGAGAGGAUGAUCAGUCACACUGGAACUGAGACACGGUCCAGACUCCUACGGGAGGCAGCAGU
rnacentral:rRNA from 1 species